GAUGAAGAACGUAGUGAAAUGCGAUAAGUAGUGUGAAUUGCAGAAUUCAGUGAAUCAUCGAAUCUUUGAACGCACAUUGUGCCCCUUGGUAUCCCGAGGGGCAUGCCUGUUCGAGCGUCAUUUCACCACUCAAGCCUGGCUUGGUGUUGGGCGACGUCCUCUUUGGGGACGCGCCUCGAAACGCUCGGCGGCGUGGCACCGGCUUUAAGCGUAGCAGAAUCUUUCGCUUUGGAAGUCGGGGCCCCGUCUGCCGGAAGACCUGCUCGCAAGGUUGACCUCGGAUCAGGCAGGGAUACCCGCUGAACUUAAGCAUAUCAAUAAGCGGAGGA
rnacentral:misc_RNA from 1 species